AGUGAACGCUGGCGGUAGGCCUAACACAUGCAAGUCGAACGGCAGCACAGUAAGAGCUUGCUCUUACGGGUGGCGAGUGGCGGACGGGUGAGGAAUACAUCGGAAUCUACUUUUUCGUGGGGGAUAACGUAGGGAAACUUACGCUAAUACCGCAUACGACCUACGGGUGAAAGCAGGGGAUCUUCGGACCUUGCGCGAAUGAAUGAGCCGAUGUCGGAUUAGCUAGUUGGCGGGGUAAAUGCCCACCAAGGCGACGAUCCGUAGCUGGUCUGAGAGGCUGAUCGGCCACACUGGAGCUGGGCCACGGUCCAGACUCCUACGGGAGGCAGCAGUGGGGAAUAUUGGACAAUGGGCGCAAGCCUGAUCCAGCCAUCCCGCGUGGGUGAAGAAGGCCUUCGGGUUGUAAAGCCCUUUUGUUGGGAAAGAAAAGCAGCAGGUUAAUACCACGCUGUUCUGACGGUACCCAAAGAAUACGCACCGGCUAACUUCGUG
rnacentral:rRNA from 1 species